rnacentral:rRNA from 1 species
GGCGUAAAGCGUGCCGAUAGGUGGUUUUAUAAGUUUUGCCUAAAAUACCAAAGCUUAACUUUGGACUUGGGCAAAAUACUGUAAAACUAGAGGGGCAAAGAGGUGCUUGGAACGAACGGUGUAGUAGUGAGAUGCGUUGAUAUCGUUCGGAACACCGAAAGCGAAGGCAGAGCACUGGGUGCCACCUGACACUGCUAGGACGAAAGCGUGGGGAGCGAAUGGGAUUAGAUACCCCAGUAGUCCACGCUGUAAACGAUGAAUAUUAGGCAUGCGCGAGUAUCGACCCUCGUGCGAGCCGUAGCUAACGCGCUAAAUAUUCCGCCUGGGGAGUACGGUCGCAAGACUAAAACUCAAAGGAAUUGACGGGGACCCGCACAAGCGGUGGAGCAUGUGGCUUAAUUCGAUGGUAAGCGAGGAACCUUACCAGGGUUUGACAUUCUUCUGCAAGCGCACGGAAACGUGUGACCUUCGAGGGUGAAGAACAGGUACUGCACGGCUGUCGUCAGCUCGUGUCGUGAGAUGUUCCCUUAAGUGGGAGAACGAGCGCAACCCCCGUAGUAUGUUGAUUUUCAUACUAGACUGCCAGCGUUUAAGUUGGAGGAAGGUGGGGAUGACGUCAAGUCAGCGUGGUUUUUACGCCCUGGGCGACACACGUGCUACAAUGGGUAGGAACAAAGGGACGCAAAGCCGUAAGGUGGAGCAAAUCCUCUCAAAAACUACCCUCAGUUCAGAUUGAGGGCUGCAACUCGCCCUCAUGAAGCUGGAAUCGC